GCCCGGUUAGCUCAAUCGGUAGAGCGUAAGACUCUUAGCACAUAGCAACAAGUUGCUAUGGUAACUAAAUCUUAAGGCUGCGGGUUCGACCCCCGCAUCGGGCU